GGUUCUGGCAUCGAUGAAGAACGCAGCGAAAUGCGAUAAGUAGUGUGAAUUGCAGAAUUCAGUGAAUCAUCGAAUCUUUGAACGCACAUUGCGCCCCUUGGUAUUCCAUGGGGCAUGCCUGUUCGAGCGUCAUUUGUACCCUCAAGCUUUGCUUGGUGUU
rnacentral:rRNA from 1 species